GGACUGCUUGCCCGCCUCUUGCCCUGUGACUAUGGCCCUUGGGAUGUAUUGCCCUUUAAAGACAUGAUUUGGGCAUAAUGUAUUUGUGUUGUGCUGCUGCUGGCCCUUUAAGAACCAUCUGGGGACAUACUGUGGAGUUACUGGGUGGCCACCAUUUCCUGUAUCAGAAGCACAUGGUGAGAACAAUGGAUGGUGGCCAUUUUAACUCACAGACACUGUUUGGACUUUUCAACACGGUGC